UACGUAGGGGCCUAGCGUUGUCCGGAUUUAUUGGGCGUAAAGAGCUCGUAGGCGGUUCGGCAAGUCGGAUGUGAAAUCUCCACGCUUAACGUGGAGGGGCCAUUCGAAACUGCCGUGACUCGAGUCCGGUAGGGGUGUGUGGAAUUCCCGGUGUAGCGGUGAAAUGCGCAGAUAUCGGGAGGAACACCAGUAGCGAAGGCGGCUUCCUGGCCUGUUCUUGACGCUGAGGCGCGAAAGCUAGGGGAGCAAACGGG
rnacentral:rRNA from 1 species